AGUAACGGCGAGUGAAGCGGCAACAGCUCAAAUUUGAAAUCUGGCUCUCGGGCCCGAGUUGUAAUUUGUAGAGGAUACUUUUGAUGCGGUGCCUUCCGAGUUCCCUGGAACGGGACGCCAUAGAGGGUGAGAGCCCCGUCUGGUUGGAUGCCAAAUCUCUGUAAAGUUCCUUCAACGAGUCGAGUAGUUUGGGAAUGCUGCUCUAAAUGGGAGGUAUAUGUCUUCUAAAGCUAAAUACCGGCCAGAGACCGAUAGCGCACAAGUAGAGUGAUCGAAAGAUGAAAAGCACUUUGAAAAGAGAGUUAAAAAGUACGUGAAAUUGUUGAAAGGGAAGCGUUUAUGACCAGACUUGGGCUUGGUUAAUCAUCUGGGGUUCUCCCCAGUGCACUUUUCCAGUCCAGGCCAGCAUCAGUUUUCCCCGGGGGAUAAAGGCGGCGGGAAUGUGGCUCUCUUCGGGGAGUGUUAUAGCCCACCGUGUAAUACCCUGGGGGGGACUGAGGUUCGCGCAUCUGCAAGGAUGCUGGCGUAAUGGUCAUCAACGACCCGUCUUGAAACACGGACCAAGGAGUCGUCUUCGUAUGCGAGUGUUCGGGUGUCAAACCCCUACGCGUAAUGAAAGUGAACGCAGGUGAGAGCUUCGGCGCAUCAUCGACCGAUCCUGAUGUUCUCGGAUGGAUUUGAGUAAGAGCAUACGGGGCCGGACCCGAAAGAAGGUGAACUAUGCCUGUAUAGGGUGAAGCCAGAGGAAACUCUGGUGGAGGCUCGCAGCGGUUCUGACGUGCAAAUCGAUCGUCAAAUAUGGGCAUG
rnacentral:rRNA from 1 species